rnacentral:rRNA from 1 species
GAUGAACGCUAGCGAUAGGCUUAACACAUGCAAGUCGAGGGGCAGCAUGGUCUUAGCUUGCUAAGACUGAUGGCGACCGGCGCACGGGUGCGUAACGCGUAUGCAACUUGCCUCACAGAGGGGGAUAACCCGUCGAAAGACGGACUAAUACCGCGUACACUCCAUCUUGGGCAUCCAAGGUAGAGGAAAUGAAAUUCGCUGUGAGAUAGGCAUGCGUCCCAUUAGCUAGUUGGUGAGGUAACGGCUCACCAAGGCGACGAUGGGUAGGGGAACUGAGAGGUUGAACCCCCACACUGGUACUGAGACACGGACCAGACUCCUACGGGAGGCAGCAGUGAGGAAUAUUGGUCAAUGGGCGAGAGCCUGAACCAGCCAAGUCGCGUGAAGGAUGACUGUCUUAUGGAUUGUAAACUUCUUUUAUACGGGAAUAACAAGAGUCACGUGUGACUCCCUGCAUGUACCGCAUGAAUAAGCAUCGGCUAACUCCGUG